UAAAUAAAAAAGUUUAUUUAUCUUAGAUAGACGAUAAGACCCUAAAACCUUAAAUGAUUAAUUUCUAAUCUAUCUUUUUGCUGGGGAGGCAAAUCUUAAUUUCAUGUUUUUAAAAAAACAAAUUGGGUGAUCAUAUAUAACUUAAAUAAAUCCAAAAAGGUACUUUAGGGAUAACAGCACAAUUUUUAUCUAGAGUAUCUUAUCGACAUAAAAGAUUGUGACCUCGAUGUUGAAUUGAUAAAACUCUAUUGAGCAGAAAUAAUAGAAAGUUGGUCUGUUCGACCAUUAACCUAUCACAUGAUC
rnacentral:rRNA from 1 species